rnacentral:rRNA from 1 species
GGUUGGCUCUUGUCUAUGUUUCUUGGAACAGGACGUCACAGAGGGUGAGAAUCCCGUGCGAUGAGAUGCCCAAUCCUAUGUAAGGUGCUUUCGAAGAGUCGAGUUGUUUGGGAAUGCAGCUCUAAGUGGGUGGUAAAUUCCAUCUAAAGCUAAAUAUUGGCGAGAGACCGAUAGCGAACAAGUACAGUGAUGGAAAGAUGAAAAGAACUUUGAAAAGAGAGUGAAAAAGUACGUGAAAUUGUUGAAAGGGAAGGGUUUGAGAUCAGACUCGAUAUUUUGUGAGCCUUGCCUUCGUGGCGGGGUGACCCGCAGCUUAUCGGGCCAGCAUCGGUUUGGGCGGUAGGAUAAUGGCGUAGGAAUGUGACUUUGCUUC